UACGUAGGGCGCAAGCGUUGUCCGGAUUUAUUGGGCGUAAAGAGCUCGUAGGCGGUCUGUCGCGUCGGAUGUGAAAACCCGGAGCUCAACUCCGGGCCUGCAUUCGAUACGGGCAGACUUGAGUACUGCAGGGGAGACUGGAAUUCCUGGUGUAGCGGUGGAAUGCGCAGAUAUCAGGAGGAACACCGGUGGCGAAGGCGGGUCUCUGGACAGUUCCUGACGCUGAGGCACGAAGGCCAGGGGAGCAAACGGG
rnacentral:rRNA from 1 species